GGUUUUUUAGUUUAAAUUAAAAUACGGAUUUUGUAAAUCUGUGAUGAUUAAUAUAAUAUCAUUAACCU
rnacentral:tRNA from 1 species